rnacentral:rRNA from 1 species
UACGGAGGGUGCGAGCGUUAAUCGGAAUUACUGGGCGUAAAGCGCGCGUAGGCGGUUUGUUAAGUUUGAUGUGAAAGCCCUGGGCUUAACCUGGGAACGGCAUUGGAUACUGGCAGACUGGAGUGUGGUAGAGGGGUGUGGAAUUUCCGGUGUAGCAGUGAAAUGCGUAGAGAUCGGAAGGAACACCAGUGGCGAAGGCGGCACCCUGGACCAACACUGACGCUGAGGUGCGAAAGCGUGGGGAGCAAACAGG